rnacentral:rRNA from 1 species
AAAGAUUAAGCCAUGCAUGUCUAAGUAUAAGCAAUUAUACAGCGAAACUGCGAAUGGCUCAUUAAAUCAGUUAUCGUUUAUUUGAUAGUACCUUACUACUUGGAUAACCGUGGUAAUUCUAGAGCUAAUACAUGCUAAGAAUCCCGACCUCUGGAAGGGAUGUAUUUAUUAGAUAAAAAACCAAUGCCUUCGGGCUCCUUGGUGAUUCAUGAUAACUUCACGAAUCGCAUGGCCUUGCGCCGGCGAUGGUUCAUUCAAAUUUCUGUCCUAUCAACUUUCGAUGGUAGGAUAGUGGCCUACCAUGGUUU